ACAGUUACAGCAUGAUUAAACCAGAACUGCUAUCAAGAUUAAGUUACUGAACAUUUAAACAAAUUUUUUUAAACAACUUGAGCAUGAAAAAGUAAUUAUAUUUCCUAUCAUUCCAGCCUUUAUAUCACACAUGUUAUGGUAUAAGUGCCUGUUACAUACUUCUCACUAGAUUUGUGUGUACCUCAAUUUUCAAACACCUUUAAUAGGCUAGCUGAUAUUUUUGGAAUUGGAGGGGGGAAACAUGUAUGACACUAGAAAUUUCUCAGUUCUUGCACAGGAAACAUGCCAGAAAGGAGGUAAACUUCUGGACUAUAUACAUACUCUGAACCAGGAAGGAGAUUAUACCUCCUUAAGCCUCCUUACCAAGAACAUAGUAAACAUUAACUGUAUUCAGUGCUUAGGUUUAUCAAAUAGGUAUAUACCUAAAAAACUCUUCCAAAUCUAAGUAUAAAUAUUUUUAAAAGGUUACACUUAUGCCAACUAAGAAUAACAGAUUCAUGAGAUAAGGUGCAUCUAUUAUACUUAGUCUCUGUUACAAGUAUAACCUUUUAAUUUUGCACUUGGAUCACACCCAUUUUCAGCUUUAGACUUUCAAACUGGAAAAUUCCAAGAACUUUAAUGCCGGUUGUGUUAGAAACAGCUAUUUUGUAAGCAGCUCUUCAAAGUCUAGGGCAGACUAGGCAUCAGAUUUAAUAGGCUAGCUCCACGCUCGAGAUAUCCUAAAAUAUUAAAAACUGUUGGACUUGGUCUUUACAGGGCCUCUUCAACUGUAAGACUUCUGACAAGUUGGAGCACAUUAAAGGAAAUAAGAACUGCUACUGUGCAAAAGAAAGCGUCUUUAGCCUUCUCUAGUGUGUUGUCCAAAUAGAUUAAUUAGUACAUCCCAUUUAAAUUAUAUACAGUAAUUAAGGUCCCCACGUUAACCCAUUAAGUUUUCUAUCCUCCUUUACCUGAUAUACAAGGCUUUAUUUGCAACACUACUACAUUUUCUCCUUUUCUGCCUCCUCCUAUCGAUCUGGCUAAGAAAAUUAAAUUUCUCUCAAAAAAGAAAAUGAUUCUCAUAACAUGCCCUGUAUAUGUUGAACCAGAUAUGGGAAACUGCACUUGGAACUUAAAAAGAUUGUUUUAACUUCAGCUCUCUUACCAUUUACUCUAGGUAUCAGAGGCAGCAUUACUAUCAACAGUCUCAUCUUGGUACAGUUGUCACUCCUCCAAAAGUCCCUGCCUGACUAUCACUUCGAAAUAAUCAAGCCUACACAACAAACUUGUAGAUUCUUCCAAUUUUUAUUUUGGAAAGCAGCAAUAUUAAAAA